rnacentral:rRNA from 1 species
UACAGAGGAGCCAAGCGUUGUCCGGAAUUAUUGGGCGUAAAGAGCUCGUAGGCGGUGUGUCACGUCGGCCGUGAAAACCUGCAGCUUAACUGUGGGCGUGCGGUCGAUACGGGCAUCACUGGAGUUCGGCAGGGGAGACUGGAAUUCCUGGUGUAGCGGUGAAAUGCGCAGAUAUCAGGAGGAACACCGGUGGCGAAGGCGGGUCUCUGGGCCGAUACUGACGCUGAGGAGCGAAAGCGUGGGGAGCAAACAGG